rnacentral:rRNA from 1 species
AGAGUUUGAUCAUGGCUCAGGAUGAACGCUGGCGGCGUGCCUUAGGCAUGCAAGUCGAACGGUCUCAAGUAAAGCUUGCUUUACUUGAGCUAGUGGCGAACGGGUGAGUAACGCGUAGGAAUCUACCUCUGGGUGGGGGAUAGUCCCGGGGAACUGGGUUUAAUCCCGCAUGGUCUCGGUAUCAGUAUUUAGCAAUUAGGACAUUUGUUUGAUAGCGUAAGUUUGUUUUGAUUGUUAAAUUCUGAUGUCGAGUAAAGGCUUUGGCCGCCGAGAGAGGAGCCUGCGUCCUAUCAGCUUGUUGGUGGGGUAAAAGCCUACCAAGGCUAUGACGGGUAGCUGGACUGAGAGGUCGAUCAGCCACAAUGGGACUGAGACACGGCCCAUACACCUACGGGUGGCAGCAACUAGGAAUCUUCCGCAAUGGGGGAAACCCUGACGGAGCGACGCCGCGUGGAGGGCGAAGGCCUUCGGGUUGUAAACUCCUUUCGGUUUCACAUAUGUGAGACAAAAGAAGCACCUGCUAACUACGUGCCAGAAGCCUCGGUAAUACGUAGGGUGCGAGCGUUAUCCGGAUUUACUGGGCGUAAAGGGUCCGUAGGCGGAGACAUAAGUCGGUUGUGAAAGACCUCGGCUCAACUGAGGGAACGCAGUCGAAACUAUGUUUCUAGAGUGUCAAAGGGGAGGCUGGAACUGUCGGUGUAGCAGUGAAAUGCGUUGAUAUCGACAGGAACACCAAGGGCGAAGGCAGGCCUCUGGGUGACUACUGACGCUAAGGGACGACAGCUAGGGGAGCGAAAGGGAUUAGAGACCCCUGUAGUCCUAGCCGUAAACGAUGCUCGCUAGAUGGAUGCCCCUCGGGGUGUCUGUCGUAAGCUAACGCGUUAAGCGAGCCGCCUGGGGAGUACGAGCGCAAGCUUAAAACUCAAAUGAAUUGACGG